UAAGAUUCGAUUAUAAUUAUUGUACGAGUCUAUAUUGUAUUAUAAGUUGAUAUUCGAUUUGAUAAAGGAGUAUAGGUAAUAAAGUAUAUUUCAAAUAUACUUUCAAACAAAUAUUAUCAGCGGUAGUUAAUAGAUGUGAUAAAUCCAAUUAUAUAAGAAUGUGAAUGACUAUAUGAUUGUGUAAGUUGACUUAUCUCUAAAUAAGACUAAAUCUUAUUUUUUGCCAUCUUAUUAACAAUGCACAAUAUAAUUAUUAAUCAUAUAUAAUUAUAUGUAAUUGAGAAAUCAUUAAUUUUUAAGUAAAAUCUUCAGCUAGUGAUUUACAAGUGUACUAAUAAUUCUAUUGUUUCACCACAACAAAAAGAAAUAGGAAUAAAAAGAAAUAUGGUUGUCAAAAAAAGCAGAUUUUUAAGAAUUAAAGAUCCCAUUGGUUCCACAAAUGUGAUGAAUAGAUAAGAAGGUAAUAUGGCUUAACGAACUUAAUUAUUUAUAUCAAGUAUAGUCAAAACCUCAAUUUGAUGCAUUAACUAGAAGUUAAUAACAAACUACUCAGGGUCAAAUACCUGAUACUUGUUUACCAGUAUUCCAAUUGGUGUUAUAAAAUCUGUUGAUCCAGAAAAACAAAAACUUAUCCAACAAUUAAUUCUUUUAUUUCAUGCACAUACCACACAACAUGAAAAUCAAAUAAAUAGUGAUAUCUGGCAAUAUUUGUUAAUAGAUUGUAAAAUUAUGAAAAAUAUAUUAAUUCACUAUAAGAACUUCUUUAAAUGGGAAAAAAUUGUACAGUAUCAUAUUUCAAGAUAAAGUAUUAUUUAGAAACAUUGCAAU